UACGUAGGGUGCAAGCGUUGCCCGGAAUUAUUGGGCGUAAAGAGCUCGUAGGCGGUUUGUCGCGUCUGCUGUGAAAACUCGGGGCUUAACUCCGGGCCUGCAGUGGGUACGGGCAGACUAGAGUGCGGUAGGGGAGACUGGAAUUCCUGGUGUAGCGGUGAAAUGCGCAGAUAUCAGGAGGAACACCGGUGGCGAAGGCGGUUCUCUGGGCAUUACCUGACGCUGAGGAGCGAAAGUGUGGGGAGCGAACAGG
rnacentral:rRNA from 1 species